UACGUAGGGUGCGAGCGUUAAUCGGAAUUACUGGGCGAAAGCGUGCGCAGGCGGUUUGUAAGUCUGACGUGAAAUCCCCGGGCUUAACCUGGGAAUUGCGUUGGAGACUGCAAGGCUGGAGUCUGGCAGAGGGGGGUAGAAUUCCACGUGUAGCAGUGAAAUGCGUAGAGAUGUGGAGGAACACCGAUGGCGAAGGCACCCCCUGGGUCAAGCUGACGCUCA
rnacentral:rRNA from 1 species